rnacentral:piRNA from 1 species
AUGGGCAUCAUGAACUCCUUCGU